rnacentral:rRNA from 1 species
GUGGGGAAUUUUGGACAAUGGGCGCAAGCCUGAUCCAGCAAUGCCGCGUGCAGGAAGAAGGCCUUCGGGUUGUAAACUGCUUUUGUACGGAACGAAAAGGCUCUGGUUAAUACCUGGGGCUCAUGACGGUACCGUAAGAAUAAGCACCGGCUAACUACGUGCCAGCAGCCGCGGUAAUACGUAGGGUGCAAGCGUUAAUCGGAAUUACUGGGCGUAAAGCGUGCGCAGGCGGUUUUGUAAGACAGACGUGAAAUCCCCGGGCUCAACCUGGGAAUGGCGUUUGUGACUGCAAAGCUGGAGUGCGGCAGAGGGGGAUGGAAUUCCGCGUGUAGCAGUGAAAUGCGUAGAUAUGCGGAGGAACACCGAUGGCGAAGGCAAUCCCCUGGGCCUGCACUGACGCUCAUGCACGAAAGCGUGGGGAGCGAACAGGAUUAGAUACCCUAGUAGUCC